rnacentral:rRNA from 1 species
GACGAACGCUGGCGGCGUGCUUAACACAUGCAAGUCGAGCGGUAAGGCCCCUUCGGGGUACGACGAGCGGCGAACGGGUGAGUAACACGUGGGUGACCUGCCCUCAGCUCUGGGAUAAGCCUGGGAAACUGGGUCUAAUACUGGAUAUGACUCCACGGUGCAUGUCGUGGGGUGGAAAGCCUUGUGCGGCUGAGGAUGGGCCCGCGGCCUAUCAGCUUG